AGGUGGUGGAGGACUUGGUUCUCGACGCCGAUGAAGGACGUGGCAAGCUGCGAAAAGCUCCGGCGACCCGCAUGCAGGGUUUGACCCGGAGAUAUCCUAAUGGGACUUCCCUUUAAGACCGCAAGGUCGGGGAACGCGGGGAAUUGAAACGUCUUAGUACCCGCAGGAAGAGAAAUCAAUUGAGAUGCGCUUAGUAAGAGCGACUGAAAAGCGUUCACGACAAACCGAAUCUUGCAUUGAAAGAUGCAAGGAAUGUGGUGUUAUAGGACCUUCAUUUAGUCUACGCUCGGUAAGACAAAGACGCCUGGAAAGGCGCGCCAGAGAGGGUGAUAGCCCCGUCGUCAAAGCUGAGAGAGAUGAGGAGGUAUCCUGAGUACUGUCCCUCGGAAAUGGGGCAGGAAGUUGGGAGGCAUCUACUUCCAAUCGUAAAUACGUCGAGAGUCCGAUAGUGUACCAGUACCGUGAGGGAACGUUGAAAAGAACCCAUGACAGGGAGUUCAAAGAGCCUGAAACCAUCUAGGGAUAGUCCUGUAGUGCCCUGCGGGGUGCUACAGUCCGUUGCGAAUAAUGUGCCAGGGAGUGCCGUGGAUGUGGCAAGCGUAAGACGAUCAUCGUCGGACGCGCAGCGAAAGCAACAAGCCCGCAAGCAAUGAGGGGCGAGGUAUGAAAGUGCCUGAAGUCACAUCAUGGCGACCCGAAACCACUCGAUCUAAUCGUGAGCAAGCUGAAGUGAGGGUAAAACCUUGUGGAGGGCUGAAGAGGUUCUGGAUGCAUCCGUUCUUCUGACUUACGAUUAGGGGUGAAAAGCCAAUCGAGAGUGGUGAUAGCUGGUUCCUUCCGAAAUUGGCCAUAGUCAAGCCUCGAGCGAGACUGCCGUUGUUGUAGAGUCACAGAUUGGGGGCUUAGGCUCCGAAAGGGGUCGGCCCCUUGUCUAACUCCGAAUGCAGCGGCGUCGUAGACCUCGGGAGUCGGGGCGUCGGCGUAAGGUUGAUGUCCAAGAGGGGAACAACCCAGACAUACAUUAAGGUCCCUAAGUAUCGAUUCAGUGUGAAAGGCGAAAGGUUGUCAAUUGCCACAGACAGCGAGGAGGUAGGCUUAGAAGCAGCCACCCUUUAAAAAGUGCGUAACAGCUCACUCGUCAAGGCCGUUGGUACCUACAAUGGACGGGGCUAAAUCGAUCACCGAUAUGUAUGGCAACCCAAAAGGUUGCGGUAGGAAGGCGUUCCGUGCGGGCAGAACGCAGCUCGAAAGGGCCGCGGGACCGCUUGGAAAUGAGAAUCCUGGCGUGAGUAGGAUCAUAGUGCUGUGAGAAUCAGCAUCGCUGAAAGGGCAAGGGUUUCUUGACAAUGUCGAUCAGUCAAGAGUUAGUCGGUCUUAACUGAACCCCCCACUGGGGUCUGUGAGGAAAAGGCAGCAGGUUAAUAUUCCUGCACCAUCGUCGUAUGUGCGGCAACGCAAGCGUCAUUUCCGACGCUUCGGGGUCGGCUGACAGUCGCUGUCGCGGCUGCUAAGGGAAAUACGUCCAGGGAGUACCGUCAUGGUGAGAACUGGAGGAACACCCCGAAUGGUUCUGCUUUGCAGAAUUCAGCUCAUCCCUGGAGCCCGUGAAAAGGGAAAGACGAUAAAUCGAUGAUGACCGUACCCAGAACCAACACUGGUGCCCCUAGGUGAGAAGCCUAAAGUGUGAAGGAGACAAUCCGGGCGAGGGAACUCGGCCAAUUGGUCCCGUGCCUUCGGUAGAAGGGAUCCCUGCGGCUGUGUGCAUAUGCAUGGCAGCGGCAGGGCGCAGAGACCAGGGGUUCCCGACUGUUUAACAAAAACACAACUUCGCGCGAAGCCGAAAGGCUGUGUAUGCGAGGUGACGUCUGCCCAGUGCAGGUAUCCGAAUACCCUUUUCAAGGGGUCCAAGGACCUGUAAACGGCGGAAGUAACUAUAACUUUCUUAAGGUGGCAUUAGACUGCCUUAAUGAGGUAGUUCAGGAAGUAGUUACGCCUGAAUUUUACGGAAACGUAAACGAGACCUCUUGUUUCGUAAUCACGCGCGCCGUGAGCGAACAAAAAAUUUGGCUAUAUGCUGGAACAUCUGGUGCGUACACCGCCUAAGUGUGUACGCGUGUCUUCACGACAUAUCCGGUCACGUUGGCAACGACGUGAACGCAGACAAUCAGCAGGGAAGGCCGUAAAACGCAUACGCGUUUUACGUAACCCUCAGAGACUGCAUGCCAAACCAAGUUUCAUGGUGGCUCAUCACCACCGACGUUUCGCAAGAAACGGUAUGCGGAAGAUACAGUCCGAACUCGGCAGCGAUGUCGAGAGCUGCACAGAAAUGAUGCAGCCGUCUUACGACGUAACAAGCAUGAGCGAAAUGCCUUGUCAUUUGAUUGGUGACGUGCAUGAAGGGCGCAACGAGGUCCCCACUGUCCCCGUCCGGAGCCCUCUGAAACCCCCUUCUGGUGCAAAGGCCAGAGAAGUCUAGUAGGAAGUGAAGACCCCGUGAAACUUUACUGUAAUCUGUCGCUGUGACAUGGAUGUCAUUGCAUAGAGUAUGCAGGAGCCGUUAUGCGCAAACUUUCGGGUUUGCGAUAGGCACCAAUGUAACACUGCACUCUGAUGUCCGUGCCGCUCACUUGCAUUGCAAGGACACCGAUUGAUGGACAGUUCGGCUGGGGUGGCACUCCGAUGAAAGCAUAUCAUCGGAGCCCAAAGGUUGGCUCAGACGGGUCAGAAAUCCGUCGUGGCGUGCAAGGGCAUACGCCAGCCUGAUUGGAACCCGACCAAGAACGGUUCCAAACGCGAAAGCGUGGCCUAGCGAACCUCACUGCCCCUCUUGAUGAGGGCGUGGGAUGACCGAAAAGUUACUCCGGGGAUAACAGAGUUGUCGCGCCUGAGAGUUCACAUCGACGGCGCGGCUUGCUACAUCGACGUCGGCUCUUCCUCUCCUGGGUGUGCAGUAGCAUCCAAGGGUGCGGGAGUUCACCGGUUAAAAGGGAUCGUUAGCUGGGUUCACAACGCUGUGAGGCAGUUGGUAUACGAUCCACUAGACUUGCGAGACAUUUGAGGGAAAGGAAUUCAUAGUACGAGAGGAACUGAAUUUCGGGGCCUCUAGCCUACCGGUUAUCUGACAAGGUAUUACGCCGGGCAGCCACGCCCUAAGGGAUAAACACUGAAAGCAUCUAAGUGUGAAACCCUUCUCGAAAAGAAAUGUCAUCGGACCCUUAUAGAAGAUAAGGUUGAUGGAAGCGGGGUGUACGUG
rnacentral:rRNA from 1 species